UACGUAGGGUGCGAGCGUUGUCCGGAAUUAUUGGGCGUAAAGAGCUCGUAGGCGGUUUGUCGCGUCGGCCGUGAAAACUUGAGGCUUAACUCCAAGCUUGCGGUCGGUACGGGCAGACUUGAGUUCGGCAGGGGGAGACUGGAAUUCCUGGUGUAGCGGUGAAAUGCGCAGAUAUCAGGAGGAACACCGGUGGCGAAGGCGGGUCUCUGGGCCACUACUGACGCUGAGAAGCGAAAGCAUGGGGAGCGAACAGG
rnacentral:rRNA from 1 species